rnacentral:rRNA from 1 species
UCAAAGAUUAAGCCAUGCAUGUCUCAGUACAAGCCAAAUUAAGGUGAAACCGCGAAAGGSUCAUUAAAUCAGUUAUGGUUCCUUAGAUCGUACCCACAAUUACUUGGAUAACUGUGGUAAUUCUAGAGCUAAUACAUGCAAACAGAGCUCCGACSGGAGACGGAAGGAGUGCUUUUAUUAGAUCAAAACCAAUCGGUGGCGGCGGGUUCUCGCUCGCUCGUCAUCGUAUAACUUGGCGACUCUGAAUAACUUUAGGCUGAUCGCACGGUCAUCGCACCGGCGACGCGUCUUUCAAAUGUCUGCCUUAUCAACUGUCGAUGGUAGGUUCUGCGCCUACCAUGGUCGUAACGGGUAACGGGGAAUCAGGGUUCGAUUCCGGAGAGGGAGCSUGAGAAACGGYUACCACAUCCAAGGAAGGCAGCAGGCGCGCAAAUUACCCACUCC